UUGUACUAUAGCAUAACCUGCCUUUGCUGGUGUGUGGUGAUUAGGCCUGGUGGAACCGCCAUCAAUAAAUCAAGCGUGAUCAGGGUGAGGAACAGGAAAGAAGGAAAUCUGGGGAAAUGGGAUGAAUGUCAGGUGGAUCAGAGAGAUACAGUCAUGGGGGUCAGGUGCGGUAUCAGGAAUAAUGUGGGAGGCCGGAUUGAAGUCUGGGCCAGGAACAACGGUAAUUGUGGGAGACUCAACAAAGAGUGAGUAUAGCUGAAGGAGCCGGGAAGCAGAAAGUAUAUGCGUCAGGUAUGAGGAAGAAAAUAGAUUUUGGAAGUUAUGAGAACUGUAGAGAGUGAGUUGAGCAUAGUUUGUGAUUUUUAGGGCCUCUAACAGUAUUAAAGCAGUGGCAGCCACUGCACGCAGACAUGAGGGCUAGGCUAAAACAGUAAGGUCAAGUUGUUUGGACAGAAAGGCUACAGGGUGUGGUCCUGGCUCUUGUGUAAGAGUUCUGACCACACUAACCAUGUUUAGGAAGGAAAGGAGUUGUUGUUUUGUAGAAGGUGCUGGGGUUUGAGAGAUCAGUUGGACAUGAUUGGCAGGGAGAGCACGUGUGUUUUUAUGAGAAUUAUGCCGAGAUAGGUAACAGAUGAGGAAGAAAUUUGGGCUUGAUGGAAGUAAUGGGGGCUGUCUGUGAAGCUUUGCAGCAGUACAGCCUAGGUAAUUUGCUGAGCUUGAUGGGUGUCAGGGUCAGUCCAAGUGAAAGUGGAGAGAGGCUGGGAUUAAGGGUGCAAAGGAAUAGUAAAGAAAGCAUGUUUGAGAUCUAGAACAGAAUAAUGGGUUAGAGAGGCAGGUAUUGAGGAUAGGAGAGGCUAUGGGUUUGGCACCACGGGGUGAAUAGGCAAAACAAUUUGGUUGAUAAGGUGCAGAUCCUGAACUAACUUGUAAGGCUUGUCUGGUUUUAGGACAGGUAAAAUGGGAGAAUUGUAAGGAGAGUUUAUAGGCUUUAAAAGGCCAUGCUGUAGCAGGCGAGUGAUAACAGGCUUUAAUCUUUUUAAAGCGUGCUGUGGGAUGGGAUAUUGGAGUUGAGUGGGGUAAGGGUGAUUAGGUUUUAAUGAGAUGGUAAGGGGUGCAUGAUCAGUCGCCAAGGAGGGAGUAGAGGUAUCUUAUACUUGUGGGUUAAGGUGGGGGGAUACAAGAGGAGGACGCAAAGGAGGCUUUGGAUUGGGAAGAAGGGCGGCAAUGAGAUACAGCUGUAGUCCAGGAAUAGUCAGGGAAGCAGAUAAUUUAGUUAAAGUGUCUCAGUCUAAUAAGGGAACUGGGCAGGUGGGGAUAACUAAAAAGGAGUGCUUAAAAGAGUAUUUUCUAAGUUGGCACUAGAGUUGGGGAGUUUUAAGAGGUUUAGCAGCCUGGCCGUCAAUACCCACAACAGUUAUGGAGGCAAGGGAAACAGGCCCUUGAAAAGAAGGUAAUGUGGAGUGGGUAGCCUCCGUAUUGAUUAAGAAGGGGACGGGCUUACCUUUCACUGUGAGAGUUACCCGAAGCUCGGCGUUCGUGAUGGUCUAGGGGGCUUCCGAGGCGAUUGGGCAGUGUCAGUCUUCAGCCGCUAAGCCGAGAAGAUCUGGGAAGGAGUCAGUCAGAGAGCCUUGGGCCAGAGUUCCAGGGGCUCUGGGAGUGGCUGCUAGGUGAGUUGAACAGUCUGAUUUUCAGUGGGGUCCCACAGAGAUGGGACGCGGCUUAGGAGGAAUCCAGGGCAGCGGGCAUUCCUUGGCCCAGUGGCCAGAUUUCCGGCACGUGUAGCAAGCUCCUGGGGAAGGAGGUUCUGGAGGAACGCCUGGCCGCUGCGGUUCAGGCGUUUGGAAGUUCUCGUGUGCUGGAGAUGUGGCUGGGAUUUGUCUCACAGUGAAGAAUCAGCUGGGAACAAUGACUGCCAAAAGUGUCCAGAGGAAGUCUGCAGGAGCUGGGUCUCUCCUAGGUGGAAUAUUCUUUGAAAUCAGCCACCUCCAGAUAAAAAGACAAAAUGCCUCCCAAAGCUACGAGAUGAACUACAGAAUUCUAAUUGUUCCCGUGCUUCCUGAAG